GAGGUUGGAGUGGAUUCUCUGGAAGGAGAGUUUUCUGAGGCCCGUGAGGACAUGGCUGCCCUUGAGAAGGAUUAUGAGGAGGUCGGUGUGGAUUCUACUGAAGGAGAGGGUGAAGAGGAAGGAGAGGAAUACUAAUUACCAUUCCUCUCAGUCCCAAAGCAUGUCACACUCAGAACUUUAGCUUCAACAUUAGCUGACAGUCAUUAAACC